rnacentral:rRNA from 1 species
AUUGAACGCUGGCGGAAUGCUUUACACAUGCAAGUCGAACGGCAGCACGGACUUCGGUCUGGUGGCGAGUGGCGAACGGGUGAGUAAUGUAUCGGAACGUGCCCAGUCGUGGGGGAUAACGUAGUGAAAAUUACGCUAAUACCGCAUACGAUCUAUAGAUGAAAGCGGGGGAUCGCAAGACCUCGCGCGAUUGGAGUGGCCGAUAUCAGAUUAGGUAGUUGGUGGGGUAAAGGCCCACCAAGCCAACGAUCUGUAGCUGGUCUGAGAGGACGACCAGCCACACUGGAACUGAGACACGGUCCAGACUCCUACGGGAGGCAGCAGUGGGGAAUUUUGGACAAUGGGCGAAAGCCUGAUCCAGCCAUUCCGCGUGCAGGAUGAAGGCCCUCGGGUUGUAAACUGCUUUUGUACAGAACGAAAAGGUUUCUACUAAUACUAGGAGCUCAUGACGGUACUGUAAGAAUAAGCACCGGCUAACUACGUGCCAGCCGCCGCAGUAA